GCAUGAACUUAGCCGCCCAACAACACGGAGCUUUGGUGACUGUCUUUGAGAGAAGCGAAAGCAAGUGUUUGCCUAACUUGCAGGUCGUAAUUUCAGUCGAGUGUACCGUAGUUUGUUAAGCAUGGCAACCAAUUCCAACUCCAGCGCUGGAAUUGAAGUUCACAACACUCUUCAAUCUAUCUGCUACAAGCGCGGCUUCCUACAGCUACUCGACCAGAGAAAGCUUCCUCUCGAAACUGUCUAUCUGGAUAUCCGAGAUGCAUCAGAUGGAUGGUCUGCCAUACGGGAGAUGGUGGUCCGUGGAGCACCUGCUAUUGCUAUUGCAGCAGCCCUCUCUCUUGCAGUAGAAGUGUUUGCUAACUUGGACCAUUUUAAUGGGACUUCUGAGGACGCUGCCUCUUUCCUUUUCAAGAAAUUGGAAUAUCUCGUUUCGAGCCGACCUACAGCAGUGAAUCUUUCAGAUGCAGUAACGAAACUUAAAGAAGUUAUAUCUAAGACUGCUGCUACUGCUUCAGAAUCCAAGGAUGUUUUUCAGGCUUACAUAGAAGCUGCUGAAAUUAUGCUUGAAGAUGAUGUUGCUUCAAACAAAGCAAUUGGGUCUCAUGGAGCAACUUUUAUUCAGAAUCAACUGAAAAACUCUGACUGGCUUUCUAUUCUGACCCAUUGCAAUACUGGCAGCCUUGCAACAGCUGGGUAUGGUACUGCUCUAGGAGUGAUUCGUGCACUUCAUACUGAAGGAGUGUUAGAGAGGGCCUACUGCACAGAAACGCGUCCUUUCAAUCAAGGAUCUAGACUCACAGCUUUUGAGUUGGUGCAUGACAAAAUACCUGCUACUCUUAUAGCGGACUCUGCUGCAGCUACAUUAAUGAAAGAUGGUCGAGUGAGUGCUGUAAUUGUUGGAGCAGAUCGUGUGGCUGCAAAUGGAGAUACUGCUAACAAGAUUGGGACCUACAGCCUAGCCUUAUGUGCAAUGCAUCAUAACAUUCCAUUCUAUGUUGCUGCACCGCUGACCUCCAUUGAUUUAUCCCUUUCUUCUGGGAAACAAAUUAUUAUAGAGGAAAGAUCACCUAAAGAAUUAUUAAAUUCACGUGGAGGACUUGGAGAGCAAGUUGCUGCACCUGGGAUUUCUGUCUGGAACCCAGCUUUUGAUGUUACCCCUGCAAAAUUGAUAAGUGGUAUCAUAACAGAAAAGGUUCUCCCCCCACCCCCUCUCUUUCCGUUUAUAUACACGACUUCAAAAAUAAUGGAAAAGAUAAGAUUAUUUGAUGGAUUUAUAUCUGAUGAUUUGUGUUCUGUAAGCAGGGGGUCAUCACUAAGAUAAAAAAUGAUGAUUUUGACAUUGAGAAUUUUGUAAAAGGGGCAGCUGGGCAGUCUGUUGCAUAGGAGAGACAUCUGCUGCUGAGCAGAAUGGAUGGUAUGCCAAAGUGGUCAGCAUUUUUAUCAGCACGUCAUAUAGCUGCUAAUAUCAAGGGCAUAUACCCUUUGAAAGAAUGCUGGAAUAAGCCUUCUGUGAUGUCUUGAGUGUUAUUGUAAUAAUUGUAACUUGCUUGUAAAGCCAAGACCUUUUGUUGGGUAUUUUUGGCGAAGAUAAUAAGGGUGCCCAUUUUGCUCUCAUCUUAUAUAUAUUAAUUAAAGAGUGGUUUUAGUUGUAUUUGUGAAUGGAUCAUGUUCCUUCUCCUAUGCAGUAUGGAACUAGCCUAAAUUAAGAAUUCUAGAAAAGCCUCUCUUCAACAUCAAUGCCAAAACAC
rnacentral:misc_RNA from 1 species